rnacentral:tRNA from 1 species
GGAUUGUGGCUCAGUGGUAUAGCACUUGUCUGGCAUAUGUGAGGCACUGGGAUCAAAUCUCAGCACCA